UAGGGAAUCUUCGGCAAUGGGGGGAACCCUGACCGAGCAACGCCGCGUGAGUGAAGAAGGUUUUCGGAUCGUAAAGCUCUGUUGUUAAGGAAGAACGAGUGUGAGAAUGGAAAGUUCAUGCUGUGACGGUACUUAACCAGAAAGGGACGGCUAACUACGUGCCAGCAGCCGCGGUAAUACGUAGGUCCCGAGCGUUGUCCGGAUUUAUUGGGCGUAAAGCGAGCGCAGGCGGUUAGAUAAGUCUGAAGUUAAAGGCAGUGGCUCAACCAUUGUAGGCUUUGGAAACUGUUUAACUUGAGUGCAGAAGGGGAGAGUGGAAUUCCAUGUGUAGCGGUGAAAUGCGUAGAUAUAUGGAGGAACACCAGUGGCGAAGGCGACUCUCUGGUCUGUAACUGACGCUGAGGCUCGAAAGCGUGGGUAGCAAACAGG
rnacentral:rRNA from 1 species